rnacentral:rRNA from 1 species
GAUGAACGCUAGCGAUAGGCUUAACACAUGCAAGUCGAGGGGCAGCAUGGUCUUAGCUUGCUAAGACUGAUGGCGACCGGCGCACGGGUGCGUAACGCGUAUGCAACUUGCCUCACAGAGGGGGAUAACCCGUCGAAAGACGGACUAAUACCGCGUACACUUGGGAUAGGGCAUCCUGACCCAAGGAAAUGAAAUUCGCUGUGAGAUAGGCAUGCGUCCCAUUAGCUAGUUGGUGAGGUAACGGCUCACCAAGGCGACGAUGGGUAGGGGAACUGAGAGGGUGACCCCCCACCCUGGUACGGAGACCCGGCCCAGCCUCCUACGGGGGGCCGCAGUGGGGAAUUUUGGUCAAUGGUCGGGAGCCUGACCCACCCAAGUCCCGUGAAGGAUGACUUUCUUUUGGAUUUUAAACUUUUUUUUUACGGGAAUACCAAGGGCCACGUUUGGCCCCCUGGCUGUACCUUUUGAAUAAGCGGCGGCUAACUCCGU